rnacentral:rRNA from 1 species
GACGAACGCUGGCGGCGUGCUUAACACAUGCAAGUCGAACGAGUGGCGAACGGGUGAGUAAUACGUGGGAACCUGCCCUCCUUUUUGGGAUAAGCCUUGGAAACGGGGUCUAAUACCGAAUAAAGGGGGAUGUGCUCGCGGCCUAUUAGCUAGUAGGUGGGGUAAAGGGUCACCUAGGCGACGAUCUCUAGCUGGUCUGAGGGGAUGAUCGGCCACACUGGGACUGAGACACGGCCCAGCCUCCUACGGGCGGCAGCAGUGGGGAAUAUUGCACAAUGGGCGCAAGCCUGAUGCAGCCAUGCCGCGUGUAUGAAGAAGGCCUUAGGGUUGUAAAGUACUUUCAGCGGGGAGGCGUUACCCGCAGAAGAAGCACCGGCUAACUCCGUGCCAGCAGCCGCGGUAAUAC